GAUUAAGUUAUUAAGGGCGCACGGUGGAUGCCUUGGCACUAGAAGCCGAUGAAGGACGUUACUAACGACGAUAUGCUUUGGGGAGCUGUAAGUAAGCUUUGAUCCAGAGAUUUCCGAAUGGGGAAACCCAGCAUGAGUUAUGUCAUGUUAUCGAUAUGUGAAUACAUAGCAUAUCAGAAGGCACACCCGGAGAACUGAAACAUCUUAGUACCCGGAGGAAGAGAAAGAAAAUUCGAUUCCCUUAGUAGCGGCGAGCGAAACGGGAAGAGCCCAAACCAACAAGCUUGCUUGUUGGGGUUGUAGGACACUCUAUACGGAGUUACAAAGGACGACAUUAGACGAAUCAUCUGGAAAGAUGAAUCAAAGAAGGUAAUAAUCCUGUAGUCGAAAAUGUUGUCUCUCUUGAGUGGAUCCUGAGUACGACGGAGCACGUGAAAUUCCGUCGGAAUCUGGGAGGACCAUCUCCUAAGGCUAAAUACUCUCUAGUGACCGAUAGUGAACCAGUACCGUGAGGGAAAGGUGAAAAGCACCCCGGAAGGGGAGUGAAAUAGAACCUGAAACCGUGUGCUUACAAGUAGUCAGAGCCCGUUAAUGGGUGAUGGCGUGCCUUUUGUAGAAUGAACCGGCGAGUUACGAUUUGAUGCAAGGUUAAGCAGUAAAUGUGGAGCCGUAGCGAAAGCGAGUCUGAAUAGGGCGUUUAGUAUUUGGUCGUAGACCCGAAACCAGGUGAUCUACCCUUGGUCAGGUUGAAGUUCAGGUAACACUGAAUGGAGGACCGAACCGACUUACGUUGAAAAGUGAGCGGAUGAACUGAGGGUAGCGGAGAAAUUCCAAUCGAACCUGGAGAUAGCUGGUUCUCUCCGAAAUAGCUUUAGGGCUAGCCUCAAGUGAUGAUUAUUGGAGGUAGAGCACUGUUUGGACGAGGGGCCCCUCUCGGGUUACCGAAUUCAGACAAACUCCGAAUGCCAAUUAAUUUAACUUGGGAGUCAGAACAUGGGUGAUAAGGUCCGUGUUCGAAAGGGAAACAGCCCAGACCACCAGCUAAGGUCCCAAAAUAUAUGUUAAGUGGAAAAGGAUGUGGCGUUGCCCAGACAACUAGGAUGUUGGCUUAGAAGCAGCCAUCAUUUAAAGAGUGCGUAAUAGCUCACUAGUCGAGUGACACUGCGCCGAAAAUGUACCGGGGCUAAACAUAUUACCGAAGCUGUGGAUUGUCCUUUGGACAAUGGUAGGAGAGC
rnacentral:rRNA from 1 species